rnacentral:rRNA from 1 species
UACGAAGGGGGCGAGCGUUGUUCGGAUUUACUGGGCGUAAAGGGUGCGUAGGCGGGUCUUUAAGUCAGGGGUGAAAUCCUGGAGCUCAACUCCAGAACUGCCUUUGAUACUGAAGAUCUUGAGUUCGGGAGAGGUGAGUGGAACUGCGAGUGUAGAGGUGAAAUUCGUAGAUAUUCGCAAGAACACCAGUGGCGAAGGCGGCUCACUGGCCCGAUACUGACGCUGAGGCACGGAAAGCGUGGGAGCAAACAGGG